GAUGAACGCUGGCGGCGUGCUUAACACAUGCAAGUCGAACGAAGCACUUUAACCUGAUUCUUCUGAUGAAGGUUUUUGUGACUGAGUGGCGGACGGGUGAGUAACGCUUGGGUAACCUGCCUCAUACAGGGGGAUAACAGUUAGAAAUGACUGCUAAUACCGCAUAAGACCACAGAGCCGCAUGGCUCGGUGGGAAAAACUCCGGUGGUAUGAGAUGGACCCGCGUCUGAUUAGGUAGUUGGUGGGGUAACGGCCUACCAAGCCAACGAUCAGUAGCCGACCUGAGAGGGUGACCGGCCACAUUGGGACUGAGACCCGGCCCAAACUCCUACGGGAGGCAGCAGUGGGGAAUAUUGCACAAUGGGGGAAACCCUGAUGCAGCGACGCCGCGUGAGCGAAGAAGUAUUUCGGUAUGUAAAGCUCUAUCAGCAGGGAAGAAAAUGACGGUACCUGACUAAGAAGCACCGGCUAAAUACGUG
rnacentral:rRNA from 1 species